AGACCAAUCUUCUGCUAAGCUGAAGAUAAGCCCUUACGGACAGGCGGGUCGGUUGCCGG
rnacentral:sRNA from 1 species